rnacentral:lncRNA from 1 species
UCAAAUUGAAAAGAAACUAUUAAAUUCUAAUAAUAAUGUAACACCACAAACAUGGCCUAGACGUUAUGGUCGAAUCCGGGAGUGUCACAAGGAAGGGUUUUGAAAACAAUGUUAUUUUGUUAAAGCUUUGUAAAAUUGUUUGAUAAAUCAUUCAAGUUUUAUAACUCAUAUUCGUUUAUAACUAUUACUGAAAGUGUUAUUUCAUUACUUCAUUUGUCAAAACAUAAUUUACAGCGAAAGUCUUAAAAACCGUUAUAUUUUGGAAAUUCAAUUCAUAUUUUCGAAAAAGAAACCUUUGUUUUCGUAAAAACCAUGUUUCUAAUCAUCUGUCACAAAUAAAGAGUUAAAACAAAAAUCCAAAUCCAAAAUAACAACCAAACAGUCCGAAGAGUCCAAUAAUUACAAAACUCCCAGAAAUAAUCCUUAAUUAAAUAAAAACCAUAUUUAAAGUCAAUUCACGAACUUGUGGUCACCGUAAGACUCCGUCGCACCGAUCUGCCUAAGUCUGUGGAUUACCUGAACAGAACAGACAAAUAGAUGUGAGUUUUCGUAAACUUAGUGUGUAACCCAACAAAAAUAGACAUGCAACAUACACAGAUUUUCAUAAUCAGUCAGAUACAGAUUCGGACCUAAGUCUAUAACAGAUGCAGUUUUCAGAAUCAAAUAAACAGAACAGAUAUAGUGAGUCUUACCCCUAUCCUCUACACACCAUCUCUGACCAUCUCAUUAUACCAUGUGGGGUUAAAAACACCCACCCAUCCCUACGCAUCAAAUAGUGUCGAUGCGACACAUUACAGAUAAUAUGCAGUCAACCUGCCAGAAUAUAAGCGAAGUGUCGCCAUACAAAUCACUUCCUCUACAUAAACAAAACUCACUCCAAACACGAAUAUGGAAUACAUAUACAGAAUUAAUAGAUUUAACAUGCUUAACAUGUUUGUAUACAAAUAUCAUGCAUACUUAAAUAGUAUAGUCAAACAUACAUAUAGUAUCCUACUCAGAUCAGUCUAUUAGAAUAUCAUAACACACAAAAUAGGGUUUGGUUAGCCCUUAUCGACCCUACAGUAGGCCGACAGUCGAUCGGAACAGCCCGUGCGAACUUAGGGAAAAUUUCAGAAUUAUGGGUCCACAUGCUCGUGUGACUUGCCCGUGUGGGUUGACACGCCCAGAUUGGCCUUGCUUGUGUGGCCCACACGACUGGCCCAAAACUCGUUCGCCCAUAUAGUAUGCCCGUAUGGGCCCACAUGCCCAAUCUGGCCUAGCCCGUGUGGCCCAUACGGUCACACUCACACAAUCACAUAGUCGUGUCCUACGUACAGCCACGCCUUCAUCAAACACACAGUCGUGCCUUGCACACGGUCAACCACACAGCCAGGCACAUGCCCGUGUGGCGUCGACAGAAUGUUUUUUUAGUUUUCGCUGAAGCUCAGUUUUUCGUGUUUUGGGUGCACACUUGGAACGAUUUUGAUGCCAAACCACUCUCGAAAUUACCAGCACCUAAAAACAGAAUUACAAUUGAUCAAAUCUAAGUACCGAAACGCCAAUUAUCGAAACCCCAAUCGACAUACUUGAACGAAGUACACAAUGAAAAGUUCAAUUACUUACCAGAACAAUUACGGCAACCCUAACACCCUACACGAUAGACGAAGAAUUUCGCUCUCCUUGAUCAGCACCUAACACCAAGAUACACAUUAAUAACACAACUGAAAUAACCUCCAUUCGCACAAAACUUCCAGAGUACUUACCAAACAACCCGUGCAGAAAACACAAAACCCAAAGCAGAGACCGAAAACAAUUUGAACGAAAAAAGAAAAGGUAACAAAAAGAGAGGAAAACCGAGAGUACCACAAAAAGGAAGAACAAUUGACGUCAGAAUUUUGAAGAGAGAGAACCAAAAUUUUUGAAAAAAACAAAAAUAUAAUAAGAUAACCAC